rnacentral:rRNA from 1 species
AGAGUUUGAUCAUGGCUCAGGAUGAACGCUAGCUACAGGCUUAACACAUGCAAGUCGAGGGGAAACGAUAUUGGAAGCUUGCUUCCGAUAGGCGUCGACCGGCGUACGGGUGAGUAACGCGUAUCCAACCUGCCCACCACUUGGGGAUAACCUUGCGAAAGUAAGACUAAUACCCAAUGACGUCUCUAGAAGACACCUGAAAGAGAUUAAAGAUUUAUCGGUGAUGGAUGGGGAUGCGUCUGAUUAGCUUGUUGGCGGGGUAACGGCCCACCAAGGCGACGAUCAGUAGGGGUUCUGAGAGGAAGGCCCCCCACAUUGGAACUGAGACAUGGUCCAAACUCCUACGGGAGGGAGCA